AGAGUUUGAUCCUGGCUCAGGAUGAACGCUAGCGGCAGGCCUAACACAUGCAAGUCGAGGGGCAUCACGAGGUAGCAAUACUUUGGUGGCGACCGGCGCACGGGUGCGUAACGCGUAUGUAACCUACCUAUAACAGGGGCAUAACACUGAGAAAUUGGUACUAAUUCCCCAUAAUAUUCGGAGAGGCAUCUCUCCGGGUUGAAAACUCCGGUGGUUAUAGAUGGACAUGCGUUGUAUUAGCUAGUUGGUGAGGUAACGGCUCACCAAGGCAACGAUACAUAGGGGGACUGAGAGGUUAACCCCCCACAUUGGUACUGAGACACGGACCAAACUCCUACGGGAGGCAGCAGUGAGGAAUAUUGGUCAAUGGACGCAAGUCUGAACCAGCCAUGCCGCGUGCAGGAAGACGGCUCUAUGAGUUGUAAACUGCUUUUGUACGAGGGUAAACUCACCUACGUGUAGGUGACUGAAAGUAUCGUACGAAUAAGGAUCGGCUAACUCCGUGCCAGCAGCCGCGGUAAUACGGAGGAUUCAAGCGUUAUCCGGAUUUAUUGGGUUUAAAGGGUGCGUAGGCGGUUUGAUAAGUUAGAGGUGAAAUCCCGGGGCUUAACUCCGGAACUGCCUCUAAUACUGUUAGACUAGAGAGUAGUUGCGGUAGGCGGAAUGUAUGGUGUAGCGGUGAAAUGCUUAGAGAUCAUACAGAACACCGAUUGCGAAGGCAGCUUACCAAACUAUAUCUGACGUUGAGGCACGAAAGCGUGGGGAGCAAACAGGAUUAGAUACCCUGGUAGUCCACGCAGUAAACGAUGAUAACUCGUUGUCGGCGAUACACAGUCGGUGACUAAGCGAAAGCGAUAAGUUAUCCACCUGGGGAGUACGUUCGCAAGAAUGAAACUCAAAGGAAUUGACGGGGGCCCGCACAAGCGGAGGAACAUGUG
rnacentral:rRNA from 1 species